rnacentral:rRNA from 1 species
AACUGCCAAAGCCCUGACCUUACGGAAGGGUGCAUUUAUUAGAACAAAACCAAGCGACUUCGGUCGUUUUUUGUUGACUCAGAAUAACUAAGCUGAUCGCAUGGUCUUGCACCGGCGACGUGUCUUUCAAGUAUCUGCCUUAUCAACUUUCGAUGGUAGUGUAUCUGACUACCAUGGUGGUGACGGGUAACGGAGGAUAAGGGUUUGACUCCGGAGAAGGGGCCUGAGAAAUGGCCACUACGUCUAAGGAUGGCAGCAGGCGCGCAAAUUACCCACUCUCAGAACGAGGAGGUAGUGACGAAAAAUAACGAGACCGUUCUCUACGAGGCCGGUCAUCGGAAUGGGUACAAUCUAAACCCUUUAACGAGUAUCUAUGAGAGGGCAAGUCUGGUGCCAGCAGCCGCGGUAAUUCCAGCUCUCAAAAUGCAUAGAAUUAUUGCUGCGGUUAAAAAGCUCGUAGUUGGAUCUGUGCUGAGGACCUGGUCCACCUUCGGGUGCGUACUAGGCUCCACGGCUUUUCUGCCGGUUUUCCCGUCAUGGCUUUCAUCGGCUGUGGCGGGUGGCUGGUGAUUUUACUUUGAACAAAUCAGAGUGCUUCAAACAGGCGUUUAGCUUGAAUGUUUUUGCAUGGAAUAAUAGAAGAGGAUUUCGGUUCUAUUUUAUUGGUUUUAUAGACUGAAAUAAUGGUUAACAGAGACCAACGGGGGCAUUCGUACCGCUGCGUGAGAGGUGAAAUUCUUGGACCGCAGCGAGACGAACUACAGCGAAAGCAUUUGCCAAGAAGGUCUUCAUUAAUCAAGAACGAAAGUCAGAGGUUCGAAGGCGAUCAGAUACCGCCCUAGUUCUGACCGUAAACGAUGCCAACUAGCGAUCUGCCGGUGGAAUUUUCGCCCUGGUAGGGAGCUUCCCGGAAACGAAAGUCUUCCGGUUCCGGGGGAAGUAUGGUUGCAAAGCUGAAACUUAAAGGAAUUGACGGAAGGGCACCACCGGGAGUGGAGCCUGCGGCUUAAUUUGACUCAACACGGGGGAAACUCACCCGGCCCGGACCCCUUAAGGAUUGACAGAUUGAUAGCUUUUUCAUGAUUGGUGGAUGGGGGCAUGGCCCGUUCUUAGGGAACGAUUUGGUUAUCC